GGUGUGGGCGGCAAGCCACCCAGGCACCGAGGCAAGAGACAGAGAACACGAGCUGUUCCAGUAUAAUAAAAUAUAAAACAAGAAUAGUUAUACCAGAUAUAGAUCUUAGAUAUGAUUAUAUAUGAAUAUCAUUAAUCAUGAGUUUGCAGCAAUUACUUUUUAUUCCAAUAUUAUGAUAAUCCUUGCUCUAUAAUCAUAGCCUAGGAAAAACCAGGCCAUACAGAGGAGCUGAGGGGACAUAGUGAGGUGUGACCAGAAGACAAGAGUGCGAGGCUUCUGUUAUGCCUGGACAGGGCCACAAGAGGGCUCCUUGGUCUAGCGGUGAUGCCAGCGUCUGGGAAGACGCCCGUUACUAGGCGGAUCGUGGCCCAGUGGUAGCAAAAGGUGUCAAGGAACAACACUCGCUACUUAGCAGACCUGGAAAGGGGCGGGGGGGGGUGGUCUCCCUUUCCCCGGGGGAGUUUAGAAAAGACUGCUCCUCCACCUCUUGUGGAGGGCCUGACAUCAGUCAGGCUUGCCCGUAGUUAUCCGGAGGCCUAACUGUCUCCCUGUGAUGCUGUGCUUCAGUGAUCACACUCCUUGUCUGCCUUCAUGUUCCAUCCUGUACACCUGGCUCUGCCUUCUAGAUAGCAGUAGUAAAUUAGUGAAAAUACUAAUAGUCCCUGAUAUGCAGAAAUAAUGGUAUAAGCUGUCUUUCUCUCUGUCUCCUCUCCCUCUCUGCCUCGGCUGCCAGGCAGGGAAGGGCCCCCUGUCCAGUGGACACGUGACCCACGUGACCUUACCUAUCAUUGGAGGUGACUCACAUUCUUUACCCUGCCCCUUCUGCCUUGUAUCCAAUAAAUAACAGCGCAGUCAGACAUUCGGGCCACUACCGGUCUCCGCGCAUUGGUGGUAGUGGUCCCCCGGGCCCAGCUGCCUUUUCUCUU
rnacentral:sRNA from 1 species